rnacentral:rRNA from 1 species
UACGAAGGUCCCAAGCGUUAUCCGGAUUUAUUGGGCUUAAAGGGUGCGUAGGCGGUCCUAUAAGUCAGUGGUGAAAUAUCGCAGCUCAACUGUGAGGGUGCCAUUGAUACUGUAGGACUUGAGUGAAUUUGAGGUAGGCGGAAUUGACGGUGUAGCGGUGAAAUGCUUAGAUAUCGUCAAGAACACCGAUAGUGAAGACAGCUUACCAAGCUUCAACUGACGCUGAGGCACGAAAGUGUGGGGAUCAAACAGG